GAGGGUGUAGCUCAGUGGUAGAGUGCAUGCCUAGCAUGCACAAGGUCCUGGGUUCAAUCCCCAGCGCCUCCA
rnacentral:tRNA from 1 species